rnacentral:snoRNA from 1 species
UAAAAUGAUGAUAUGUUUAUUCACACUGUUUGAUCCUGUUGCCUCAGGCCGGGAGAUGAACACAAACUACCAAAUCUGAUUUAAUGAGGUA